rnacentral:rRNA from 1 species
CCAGACUCCUACGGGAGGCAGCAGUGAGGAAUAUUGGUCAAUGGGCGCGAGCCUGAACCAGCCAAGUCGCGUGAGGGAUGACGGUCCUACGGAUUGUAAACCUCUUUUGCCGGGGAGCAAGCGUGCGUUCGUGAACGCGCGUCGAGAGUACCCGGAGAAAAAGCAUCGGCUAACUCCGUGCCAGCAGCCGCGGUAAUACGGAGGAUGCGAGCGUUAUCCGGAUUUAUUGGGUUUAAAGGGUGCGUAGGCGGGAUGCCAAGUCAGCGGUAAAAAUGCGGUGCUCAACGCCGUACUGCCGUUGAAACUGCAUCCCUUGAGUGCGCGAGAAGUAUGCGGAAUGCGCGGUGUAGCGGUGAAAUGCAUAGAUAUCACGCAGAACUCCGAUUGCGAAGGCAGCAUACCGGCGCGCAACUGACGCUCAUGCACGAAAGCGUGGGUAUCGAACAGGAUUAGAUACCCCAGUACUA